GAUAAACGCUGGCGGCGUGCAUGAGACAUGCAAGUCGAACGGACGAUCAGGGCUUGCUCUGAUCGUUAGUGGCGGACGGCUGAGUAACGCGUAGGUGACCUGCCCCGAAGUGGGGGAUAACUGCCCGAAAGGGUGGCUAAUACCGCAUGUGGUGGUUCGUUCAAUCGACCCAUCAAAGCAGCAAUGCGCUUCGGGAGGGGCCUGCGUCCGAUUAGCUCGUUGGUGGGGAACGGCUCACCAAGGCGACGAUCGGUAGGUGGUCUGAGAGGACGAUCACCCAGACUGGGACUGAGACACGGCCCAGACUCCUACGGGAGGCAGCAGUCGGGAAUCUUGCGCAAUGGGCGAAAGCCUGACGCAGCGACGCCGCGUGAGGGAUGACGGCCU
rnacentral:rRNA from 1 species